UACGUAGGUGACCAGCGUUGUCCGGAUUUACUGGGCGUAAAGCGUGCGCAGGCGGUUCUCCAAGUCCGUUGUGAAAGCCCCGGGCUCAACCUGGGAACCGCGCUUGAGACUGGCACGCUAGAGUUCGGGAGAGGAUGGUGGAAUUCCCAGUGUAGAGGUGAAAUUCGUAGAUAUUGGGAAGAACACCGAUGGCGAAGGCAGCCAUCUGGACCGACACUGACGCUGAGGCGCGAAAGCGUGGGGAGCAAACAGG
rnacentral:rRNA from 1 species